GGUUGCUGAAGAUUGAGAAGAGAAACAGGCCCCUCACUGAACCUCCACGUCAUGCUACCUGCCACCCGACCCCAACCCCUAUCCCCAGCAUCUCCAGCUCCGCUUCCACGGACUCUGACUGGAUGAUGAUGAAGCCGCAGGAGCAGGUGAGCCACCGUGAUAAGCCCUGAGGAGGUGUCUGGCCUCAGUCUUUCAGCUCUGCGGAACAGCGGGAAAUGCGAAAGCGCUUCUCUGUUCUCGACCGUGGACCCCGGUCUCCAGUGUGAUUGCAUCUAGUAUGGCAAAGCCGCCUCUCUCACGCUUAGCCUCCUUUCUGUCCCUACUCAGAGAGAGAGCAAGCCUUCUUUAGGCAACAGCAUCCAUCCACAAACUAAGACCAUUUGGCCUUCCUCGUGCUUAUUUUCACUGUACACUGUACAGUCAUGCGUUGCUGAACAACAGGAUAUGUCUGGGAAACGCAUCAUCAGGUGAUUUCAUCAUUGUUCAAACAUCCUAGAGUGCACUUACACAAACCCAGAUGGCACAGCCUACUACACAUCCAGGCUGUAUGAUACAGCCUAUGGUUCCCAGGCUACCUUCCUGCGUGUAUACCGCACAGUGCUGAAUACUGCAGGCAAUUGUAACACAAUGGUAAGUAUUUGUGUAUCUAAACAUAGAAAAGGUACAGUAAAAAUGCCAAAUGAAAGACUUUUUUUGGGGGCGGGCACGGUGGCU
rnacentral:lncRNA from 10 species